CCUACGGGGGGCAGCAGUGAGGAAUAUUGGUCAAUGGCCGAGAGUCUGAACCAGCCAAGUCGCGUGAAGGAUGACUGCCCUAUGGGUUGUAAACUUCUUUUAUAUGGGAAUAAAAUGUUCCACGUGUGGGGUUUUGUAUGUACCAUAUGAAUAAGGAUCGGCUAACUCCGUGCCAGCAGCCGCGGUAAUACGGAGGAUCCGAGCGUUAUCCGGAUUUAUUGGGUUUAAAGGGAGCGUAGGUGGGUUGUUAAGUCAGUUGUGAAAGUUUGGGGCUUAACCGGAAAAUUGCCGUUGAAACUGGCAGUCUUGAGUACGUGAGAGGUGAGCGGAAUGCGUGGUGUAGCGGUGAAAUGCUUAGAUAUCACGAAGAACUCCGAUUGCGAAGGCAGCUCACUGGACUGCAACUGACACUGAGGCUCGAAAGUGUGGGUAUCAAACAGGAUUAGAUACCCCAGUAGUC
rnacentral:rRNA from 1 species